UGAAUGAAUUAUUUUUCAAAUUUUACAGCAUCUGCCGCAACGUUAAUCAAUAUUCAUAACGCCAGGAGACACUUUGAGAAACUGGAGAAGAAACCGGCAAGCACUUAACACAGAGGAAGCGCUGCAAUCUUAAUUUAAGGUGAAUUCUGAGCACUACAUGGUGGUAUCUGACGGGAGUUUUACGCUAGACAUAUUGAACGUCCAAUUGCACGCAUAAUGCAUUCGUAUAAUGGAGAUAACAUUUGAAUUUAAUAACAAUAUUAUUUUAUAGAGUUUAUAAAAAAACUAUUUUGUAGUAAAGUAGAAAUCAAAAUGCGCAAGGAUUUCGUAAUUAUUGCUUAACGUCUGAACAAUUGAAGGAAGAGGUUAUUUCGCUGGCCUCAGAAUGACAAAACGUAACAAAGCAACGGUUUUACUAACACUAACCCUAUUCCAAACACCAACUCUAACCCUAAUCCUUGUCCUAACCCUAACCUAACCCUACUCCAAGUUCGUUUCUAAACCAAUUUUGAAAAAUGUCAUUCUGAGGUCAACGUCAACGAAAUAACUUCUUCCACAAUUGAAGUUGAACUUCUGUAGAGUGUUUUCGUGUAUUCCCUUCUUGGUGGAGGGUAAAUUAUUCAUUUUUUCCCUUCAAUUUUUAAUCAGGAUAAAACUUUAUUUAAAAAGGUUCAAAAAUGUUAAUUUAAUUUUAUUCAUUUCUAAAAUAAGAUUUUAAAAUCUCGUUAGAGGAAAGAGCCUGGGAACGAGGUUGGGUGUGUAUCAAUAGCUACAGGGUUGAGGGUUGUCUUGGGUCAGCCUUCAGUCAGUGUUAUUUCUUUCUUUCAUGGGUAUAAUCUGAUUUGGUUUGUCAAAAAAGAAUUUUAUAUAAAGCAAUAACAUUAAUAAAAGUUUCAUUUAGUAUUUACAAUAUAAGGUUUGGUCUCGUUAAAUGCAUUUAAUCGGCUAACGCAUGUUUAACUUUAUGCAGUUGGCCACCCAAUUCACAUGUUUGGGUUACUCUCAUGCCUCAGUUAUAAUGUAGUUUUACAAAGUAGUUUUACAAAGUCUACCAAACUAAUAAUGUCUUCAAGGACAAAAUAGAAAAAAAAGUUUUUUUAAACCUUUUUAUCUUUGCAUCUAAAAGGAUGGCGGUAGCUGCUAAAACCUUUUUUCUGUUGUCUCAACUUUUAAAAUGAUGUAUGAAGACCCUUUACAAUUCUUUUCUAUCUUGCUUUGCUUGGAGAUAUUUCGGCCACAAACAACCACAAACAGCAUGUACUCCGCCAUCUUGUUUUUAUAUUUACUCAGUAGUUUACAUAAUGGCCCUCAGUACCUAUAAAUAAUAUUAGUAACAUUAUUAAAUUAAUGUUAAUAAUUAGAUUAAACAUAUUAAAUAAAGCGAUGGUUACACAAUGGUUGAUAACAAUAUUGCGUUGCCGUCGCACAAGGUGGCUACACCUGCAAUAUUUCACCUGCAAUAUACGUCUUUAUGACGCUUUUCAUUGGCUGGUCAAGAAACGUGUCAAUUUCGACAAUCAUUGCCAAAAAUCAAAUGAUUUGAAACUUCGGCAAUGAUUGCGCGUUAAUUUUGUGUAACAUAUACAGCUUCCUAGUAUACGUAUUAUAUCGUCAAUAGGAAGCCAUCCUAUAAUGUUGAAAAUAAUUUAACAGAAUUGUCGUUGAUGCUGGCAUCCAGUAUGAUCCUGGCAUCCAGUAUGAUCCUAGCCUAGCCCACCAACCUAGCACAGCGCUUCUGAAUCUUUAAAAGUCUAUCCAAUUGAGCAAUUACCCCCACACAUAACAGUAAUAUUCCAUAAACCGACUUAAUCAACGCAUUGUACAACAUUUUUCUACAAUGCACUGUUAGAUGAUUUUUUGCUGUCUUAAUUAAUUAAAGAGGCAUACGAGACCCACAACUGGGUUGCAUCUCUCGAAAAUACUAUAUGUGGAUGAGCC